rnacentral:misc_RNA from 1 species
GAUGAAGAACGUAGCGAAAUGCGAUACGUAAUGUGAAUUGCAGAAUUCAGUGAAUCAUCGAGUCUUUGAACGCACAUUGCGCCCCCUGGUAUUCCGGGGGGCAUGCCUGUCCGAGCGUCAUUGCUGCCCUCAAGCACGGCUUGUGUGUUGGGCCUCCGUCCUCCUCCCGGGGGACGGGCCCGAAAGGCAGCGGCGGCACCGCGUCCGGUCCUCGAGCGUAUGGGGCUUCGUCACCCGCUCUUGUAGGCCCGGCCGGCGCUUGCCGACACAUCAAUCUUUUUUCCAGGUUGACCUCGGAUAAGGUAGGGAUACCCGCUGAACUUAAGCAUAUCAAUAGCGGAGGA